AACGAACGCUGGCGGCAUGCCUAACACAUGCAAGUCGAACGAGACCUUCGGGUCUAGUGGCGCACGGGUGCGUAACGCGUGGGAACCUGCUCUUAGGUUCGGAAUAACUCCCCGAAAGGGGUGCUAAUACCGGAUAAUAUCUUCGGACCAAAGAUUUAUCGCCUUUGGAUGGGCCCGCGUUGGAUUUGCUAGUUGGUAGGGUAAAAGCCUACCAAGUCGAUGAUCCAUAGCUGGGAUGAGAGGAUGAUCAGCCACACUGGGACUGAGACACGGCCCAGACUCCUACGGGAGGCAGCAGUGGGGAAUAUUGGACAAUGGGCGAAAGCCUGAUCCAGCAAUGCCGCGUGAGUGAUGAAGGCCUGAGGGUUGUAAAGCUCUUUUACCCGGGAUGAUAAUGACAGUACCGGGAGAAUAAGCGCCGGCUAACUCCGUG
rnacentral:rRNA from 1 species